rnacentral:rRNA from 1 species
CAGUCGCCACGGUAAUACGAAGGGUGCAAGCGUUACUCGGAAUUACUGGGCGUAAAGCGUGCGUAGGUGGUGGUUUAAGUCCGUUGUGAAAGCCCUGGGCUCAACCUGGGAAUUGCAGUGGAUACUGGGUCACUAGAGUGUGGUAGAGGAUAGUGGAAUUUCCGGUGUAGUAGUGAAAUGCGUAGAGAUCGGAAGGAACAUCUGUGGCGAAGGCGACUAUCUGGGCCAACACUGACACUGAGGCACGAAAGCGUGGGGAGCAAACAGGAUUAGAUACCCCAGUAGUCCCUGUCUCUUAUAC